rnacentral:snRNA from 1 species
GUGCUCACUUCGGCGGCACAUAUACUAAAGUUGGAAUUGGAACAUUACAGAGAAGAUUAGCAUAGUCCCUGCACGAGGAUGACAUGCAAAUUCGUGAAGCAUUCCAUAUUGAA